rfam:Triticum aestivum genome assembly, contig: Triticum_aestivum_CS42_TGACv1_scaffold_221828_3B
AAGGCACUCCAUCCAUCCGGAAAUACUUGUCCCGAAAAUGGUUGUAUUUAGACUUAUUUUAGUUAUAGAUACAUUCAUUUUAACCAUUUCUAGGACAAGCAUUUCCGGAUGGAGGGAAUAUUUA